UACGUAGGGUGCAAGCGUUAAUCGGAAUUACUGGGCGUAAAGCGUGCGCAGGCGGUUGUGCAAGACCGAUUGGAAAUCCCCGGGCUUAACCUGGGAAUGGCAUUGGUGACUGUACGGCUAGAGUGUGUCAGAGGGGGGUAGAAUUCCACGUGUAGCAGUGAAAUGCGUAGAGAUGUGGAGGAAUACCGAUGGCGAAGGCAGCCCCCUGGGAUGACACUGACGCUCAUGCACGAAAGCGUGGGGAGCAAACAGG
rnacentral:rRNA from 1 species